CAGAAUCCGAUUUUUAAGAUUGUAUGGCCACCAUCCAGUCCUUCUUCUGUGUUGCCAACGAUUUCAAGGGCCAAGGACACGUGUGUGAACGGCACCGGCAUUUCAGCCGUCGGCAAGAGGGGCCAAUGCUGGAGACAGUUCUCUGAGCGAAACCACCCCACGCCAUCUGCACGGAAGACAACAGGACAGAGACUGCCGAGCCCGGGAGGUGACGCGGCCCCACGGACUUUCUAUGGAGCAGAGCCACCUGGUGGUUGGUGGCUGUGCUGUUAGAUUUUCAUUUCCUUUCUCUCCUGGAAAAAUGCAGUCCAGGAUGAAGAGGGUCCAGCAGUUAGCGUAAUGGCUAUGUCGCUGGACUCCCACGUAGGUGACC